rnacentral:lncRNA from 10 species
GCGUUUGUAGAUGGAAGGAAGAACUUGUGUGCUUAGACCUGACGCUGGGAGGAGAUGCUGCCACCUAGGUUACUUGUAGGACCCUAUACGGCAACCUCCUUUGCCAGGAACUAUUUAUAAACAUCCUGCAGGAAAAUGGUAGCUGAGACCAAUGAUGCUGACCUCCCUCAAAAGCUGCAUUUCUGAAUUUCUGAAGGCAAACUGUCUGCCUAUAUUGUACAGCAAAAUAAUUUCCUGUAUUAAAACGUUUUUAUUGCUCUAAA